rnacentral:rRNA from 1 species
GACGAACGCUGGCGGCGUGCUUAACACAUGCAAGUCGAACGGAAAUGGCCUGCUGUUGUGGGGUGCUCGAGUGGCGAACGGGUGAGUAACACGUGAGUAACCUUCCCUUGACUUUGGGAUAACUUCAGGAAACUGGGGCUAAUACCGGAUAGGUGCUCCUGCUGCAUGGUGGGGGUUGGAAAGGUUCGGCGGUUGGGGAUGGACUCGCGGCUUAUCAGCUUGUUGGUGGGGUAGUGGCUUACCAAGGCUUUGACGGGUAGCCGGCCUGAGAGGGUGACCGGCCACAUGGGGACUGAGAUACGGCCCAGAGUACUACGGGAGGCAGCAGUGGGGAAUAUUGCACAAUGGGCGGAAGCCGGAUGCAGCAACGCCGCGUGCGGGAUGAUGGCCUUCGGGUUGUAAGCCGCUUUCGCCUGUGACGAAGCGUGAGUGACGGUAAUGGGUAAAGAAGCACCGGCUAACUACGUG